rnacentral:lncRNA from 1 species
UCAACUAUCUGUAUUAACAACGGAGGCAUUUGAUGUUAUGUUUUCAAAAUAUGUCACACAAUCUUUAAGAUUAUGUUUUGAAAUUAGUCCCCAUUCUCAAAGAGUAACUCACCGUCUCAAGGUUGAUUUAGAUCUGAUACACAUAGGCUUUUGGGCCAAUGUUUAGUUUCAAAUCAAGCCCUCUGACUUGGUGGAUCAGGGUGACUUGUUAAUAGUCAGGAUGGGCCUACGGGCUAGCCGUUGCAUCUCCUUUGGACCAUCUAGGUAAAGAAUCCAUGCUGGCUUCCAUAAAGCUCCCUAAGUUGGGUCUAUGACAAAAUAAUCUAUAUUUCUUCUGUUAUGAAUCAACGAAGAAGCGAGAGAGAUGCCUAUAUAUAUAUAUAUAUAUAUAUUCCUUUUUUUUCCUAUUACCAUUACAAAGAUUUGUUCUUCCUUGACCUAGAACUAGGACCCAAGAGAUACCUUCAAACUAAUUGGAUACUUACUUUGCAGAACUCCAAGCAAGGAAUCCAUCCACUACGGAGAAGGUACUCAAUUUGCUUGAGCAAAGCCUCGAUGGAGAGAGGCGGAAGGUAAGAGAGGGUCUCGAACUUCUUCAGUCCCUCGAUCGGCCAGACCUAUGAAGCAAAACACAUGCAUGCAUGGUUAUUUGCACAAGAAUGAGAGAAGAAACAUCAGCUAAUGAUUAUAUAUGAUUCUGCCGUAAUGCUUAAUUCAUCAUCUUUUUCUUCUCUAUUCGAUACCUUCAUGCACUGAACCCUGCCUCCGUUGCUUGGAAGCUUUGAGAAGCCGUUGCUUGCCCUCCUUGUGGCCGGGAAGGCGGAGGUCGACUUGAGGCCGGUGAAGGGUGCGACCAUGCUGGAUUGGGCUGGGGUGGC